UCUAUUUUCUGGUUCCGCCCCUGGUUAACGAUCACUGACACUCUCUGGCCCUAUAAAAGGCCAGAGAAAGACGCAGAAAAGGGGAGAAAAGAAAAGGAGGGAGAGCACGAACGGAAACAAAAAAACACAGGGGCGGAGAAAAAAAGAAGAGAACAGGGAGGAGGAAAAAGAUAGACAGAGAGAAUAUACAGAGAAGACAAUAAAAAACAGAAGGCCACAAGAGAACGAAACACCCACAGAACAGGGGACGGACAGGAAGAAACCAAUCAGAGAAAAGCAAGAACAAAGGAGAAGGAAAGAGAAAGGAGCUUAGCCGACGAAUCUUCCAUCACGUUUUCAUCUUCAGAGCUACCAGGAAGUCAUGAUCCACCAGUAUUCUUCCAAGCAACACAGCAUGCUAGUUAUUCGGCAUGCUUGUUGGAGAUGUAGCACAACCGUUGGAGAUGCGCUGAGGUGGGAGUACAUGUUUCUUUUUUAUUUUCUUAUUGGAGUGGGAUAAAUAAGUAUUUUAUUUUUUCUUAAUAAGUUUGAUAUUUUUUUUUUCACAUGGCUAUAUUUAAUUGGUUUAUUUUUUUGUGGCCCCUACUUUGUUGGUUUUGGCUUUUUUAAAAGAUAUGUACAAAUAACAUUUGUGGGACAGAGAAAAGAUAUUUUAGAAUUUUGUUUAAUAUUUUUUUAAAAUAUAUAAAAUAAACAUGAAAGAGUCAAAAUAAUAUUUUUUAAAUAUUUAACUUUUUAUUUAGCAUACCGGUUGGAGAUGCAGCACAACUAUUAGAGAUGCUAUGAGG